rnacentral:rRNA from 1 species
AACGAACGCUGGCGGCAUGCCUAACACAUGCAAGUCGAACGAGACCUUCGGGUCUAGUGGCGCACGGGUGCGUAACGCGUGGGAACCUGCCCUUAGGUUCGGAAUAACUCCCCGAAAGGGGUGCUAAUACCGGAUAAUGUCUUCGGACCAAAGAUUUAUCGCCUUUGGAUGGGCCCGCGUUGGAUUAGCUAGUUGGUAGGGUAAAAGCCUACCAAGGCGACGAUCCAUAGCUGGUCUGAGAGGAUGAUCAGCCACACUGGGACUGAGACACGGCCCAGACUCCUACGGGAGGCAGCAGUGGGGAAUGUUGGAAAGUGGGCGAAAGCCUGAUCCAGCAAUGCCGCGUGAGUGAUGAAGGCCUUAGGGUUGUAAAGCUCUAUUACCCGGGAUGAUAAUGACAGUACCGGGAGAAUAAGCUCCGGCUAACUCCGUG